UUUAUUUUUUAUUUUUUAUUUUUGUUGAAUUUGAUAAUAAUAAUCAUAGGAGGAACAAUAAUUAUAAGAAUAAUAAGAAUAUGGGGUGUUUUCCCUGCACUGGAAAAUCAAGCAAGCGAUCAGAGAGAAGCAACAAUAAUAGCAUUAAACACAAUGAUCAAACACAACCCACUUCAGUGUGGAACCCUUUUCUUCAUCUUUGAAAAAUUGAUCAUAAUCGAAUUCUCGGUGGGAUUUUCUCUUUCCCCUGUUAAUUCCAGUUGUUUUGUGUAAUCAAAUUUGGUAUUGAUUGUCAGCUGAAUGAUUGGGAAAUGUUAAUUUCGAUUCUUGCUGAAAUGGGUUGAAAUGAUCAAUAGCUCAAAUUUUAAUCUCUCUCUCUUUCUCAACAUUGUCUGUUUCAUCUGUUUUCUUGGUUGUGGGUUUACGUUGCUGGUGAUGGUGGUGUUGUAUUGACCCAUCGCCCAAAACCCUUCUUUGGGUGUUCAAUAUUUUGUCCUUAGCGUGUUCUUUGUUUGCUUUCAAACUUGAUGGCUUGGGCAUUUUCUAUAAUAUUCUUAAAUAUAAAUCGUUAUUAAACUUUUUUUUUUGGUUUGGGUUUAUAUGGUACUUGUUAUCUUAUCAUGCGUUUUAACUUUUUUUUUUUCCUUUCUGGUUCUACAGGAUCAUUGAAAGUAAAGCCAUUAGCAAAUGUAAAGAAAGAGGAGACUUCUAAUGAUGAUCAGUUAUCUUUGGAUGUAAAGAAUUUAGAUUUAAUGGAUGAGGUUUCUAACAAUGCAAGAAACAAUGGGAAGCUUGCCCAAACAUUUAUCUUUGAGGAGCUUGCUGCCGCAACAGGCAAUUUCCGGUCAGAUUGUUGCUUGGGUGAAGGAGGUUUCGGCAAAGUUUACAAGGGGUAUUUGGAUAAAAUCAACCAGGUUGUUGCUAUUAAGCAACUUGAUCGAAAUGGCCUUCAAGGGACUAGGGAGUUUGUAAUUGAAGUAUUGACAUUAAGUCUAGCAGAUCAUCCCAAUCUUGUCAAGUUGAUUGGAUACUGUGCUGAGGGGGAUCAGAGGCUACUGGUGUAUGAGUACAUGCCAUUAGGAUCCCUAGAAAACCAUUUGCAUGGUAUGUAAGUCACCUUACCAUCUCAUCCUUGUGUUGAUUGCUCAUUUCUUACCUUACCAUUUUCUAUUUUAUUUUCUUUUAAUAUUUUUCCUUUUGCAGAUCUUCCACCUAAUAGGCAACCACUUGAUUGGAACACAAGAAUGAAAAUAGCUGCUGGUGCAGCAAAGGGUUUAGAAUACUUACAUGACAAAAUGAAGCCUCCUGUUAUAUAUCGUGAUCUGAAAUGCUCCAAUAUUUUGAUUGGUGAGGACUAUCAUCCAAAGCUGUCUGAUUUUGGCCUGGCCAAAGUGGGACCCAGUGGGGAUAAAACUCAUGUUUCUACAAGGGUUAUGGGCACAUAUGGGUAUUGUGCGCCAGACUAUGCAAUGACAGGUCAACUGACAUUUAAAUCAGAUGUUUAUAGCUUUGGAGUGGUUCUUUUGGAGCUCAUCACAGGCAGGAAAGCAAUUGAUCAAACAAGGGAUCGUAAUGAGCAGAAUCUUGUUGCUUGGGCACGACCUAUGUUCAAAGACCGGAGAAACUUUUCACGCAUGGUUGACCCUUUACUUAAAGGUCAAUAUCCUGUGAGAGGAUUGUACCAAGCUCUCGCCAUUGCUGCAAUGUGUGUUCAGGAGCAGCCUAAUAUGCGGCCUGCUGUGUCGGAUGUGGUUAUGGCUCUAAAUUAUCUGGCUUCUCAAAAAUAUGAUCCCCAAAUUGAUCCAGUCGAAGGCUCCCAUCAGACCUCAUCACGUCCUGGACUGAAGAAAGAUAAUGACAGAAGUGUAGGCAAUAUUUCUCCAUAGUCUAAUAUGGAAGGCCAAAUAAAUGGUUGAUAGCUUUUUGUCGUGUUUAUAUAAAAGGGUGCCUGGUGUCAAUUUUUGUAAAAUGGAGAUAUCUGGCAGUAGUUCCAUCCUUGGACUUCUCUGACAGAAAAUUUCUGCCCUUGCUUCUUCUCUUCUGUUGUACAUGUGAGCUGGGAUUCUUGUAUGUAAGAUGCUGUCUCUGUAGGAACCAUUUCCUUAAUUCAAUAGACUAGCCUUGAUUAUUUUUCAUAGUAACAAGUUCCCCUCUCUGGUUCUUGCUUUUUCUCCCAUCUUUU
rnacentral:misc_RNA from 1 species